GUCGAACGCUUCUUUUUCCACCGGAGCUUGCUCCACCGGAAAAAGAGGAGUGGCGAACGGGUGAGUAACACGUGGGUAACCUGCCCAUCAGAAGGGGAUAACACUUGGAAACAGGUGCUAAUACCGUAUAACAAUCGAAACCGCAUGGUUUUGAUUUGAAAGGCGCUUUCGGGUGUCGCUGAUGGAUGGACCCGCGGUGCAUUAGCUAGUUGGUGAGGUAACGGCUCACCAAGGCCACGAUGCAUAGCCGACCUGAGAGGGUGAUCGGCCACAUUGGGACUGAGACACGGCCCAAACUCCUACGGGAGGCAGCAGUAGGGAAUCUUCGGCAAUGGACGAAAGUCUGACCGAGCAACGCCGCGUGAGUGAAGAAGGUUUUCGGAUCGUAAAACUCUGUUGUUAGAGAAGAACAAGGAUGAGAGUAACUGUUCAUCCCUUGACGGUAUCUAACCAGAAAGCCACGGCUAACUACGUGCCAACAGCCGCGGUAAUACGUAGGUGGCAAGCGUUGUCCGGAUUUAUUGGGCGUAAACCCAGCGCAUGCGGUUUCUUAAAUCCGAUGUGAAAGCCCCCGGCUCAACCGGGGAGGAUCAUUGUAAACUGGGAGACUUGAGUGCAGAA
rnacentral:rRNA from 1 species